CAGUAUGAUAUGAAGCUAUUAGCUGUUGACAUUCCCAUGGCAUCGGGACCUGACCAGAGAUUGUUUCUGAUUGGAGAUGAGGAUGAGUAUAAGGUUGGCGGUGGACUAAUAUCUGAGCUGAGAGAUCCUGUUGUGAAAGCUAUGGCAGCCAGUAAGGAAUUUGAUGAUCUUGAUCAAAAUGAGGAAGAGGAGGAUGUGGCAAGAGAACUCCAGGAAGCAGAAAGAAGGCACCGUGAGGAAAUUGAAAAGCUUGAAAGAGAUGGUUCCUAGUGUGUGUUUAUUAAGGAUUUUUCUUAUUCAAACUUUUGCUUCAUUCUUUUCUGUUUUGUUUUGCCCUGGAAUUUUUUGGGUAAAUGCCUAAGGCUUGAUGUAGGAUCAUCUUGCAUCUGUAUCAGAGUUGAGUUUUGCAAGUCUUUUUUCUUUAAACGGCUAAUGAACUCCUACAGAGAUCUCAAAUUUUUAAAGUUGAGAUGUCUAACCAAGGUAAUAAAGUAUACAACUGGGGUACUG
rnacentral:misc_RNA from 1 species